rnacentral:rRNA from 1 species
UACGAGGGAUCCUAGCGUUGUUCGGAAUCAUUGGGCGUAAAGGGUGCGUAGGCGGCCAAGUAAGUCAGUUGUGAAAUCCCCGGGCUCAACCCGGGAAGUGCUUCUGAUACUGCUUGGCUUGAGUAUUGGAGAGGUGAGUGGAAUUCCAGGUGUAGUGGUGAAAUACGUAGAUAUCUGGAGGAACACCGGCGGCGAAGGCGGCUCACUGGCCAUAUACUGACGCUGAAGCACGAAAGCGUGGGGAUCAAACAGG